UGAAUACGAGAUGCUACGGCGUCGAAGCAGUCUAUGUCAUACUUCCAAGAAAAGCUUGCACUGUCAUAAACAAAUAAUGCCUGUACCACAACCGACACAGGUGGGUAGGUAGAGUAUACUAAGGGGCGCGAGAUAACUCUCUCUAAGGAACUCGGCAAAAUGACUCCGUAACUUCGGGAGAAGGAGUGCCUUAUUUAUAAGGUUGCAAUAAUAAGAUCCAAGCAACUGUUUACCAAAAACACAGGUCUCCGCUAAGUCGUAAGACGAUGUAUGGGGGCUGACGCCUGCCCAGUGCCAGAAGGUUAAAGAAGUUGGUUAGCAUCCGCGAAGCUGAUAACUGAAGCCCUGGUGAACGGCGGCCGUAACUAUAACGGUCCUAAGGUAGCGAAAUUCCUUGUCGGGUAAGUUCCGACCCGCACGAAAGGCGUAAUGAUUUGGAUACUGUCUCGGAGAGGGGCUCGGUGAAAUAGACUUGUCUGUGAAGAUGCGGACUACCUGCACCAGGACAGAAAGACCCUAUGAAGCUUUACUGUAACCUGAAAUUGAAAUUGGACUUUACUUGCGCAGUAUAGGUGGGAGGCGUUGAGAAUAUUCUUGCGGGAUUAUUGGAGCCAUCAGUGAGAUACCACUCUUGUAAUGUUAGAUUUCUAACUUUGUAUCAUUAUCUGGUCAAAGAACAGUUUCAGGCGGGCAGUUUGACUGGGGCGGUCGCCUCCUAAACGGUAACGGAGGCGCACAAAGGUUUCCUCUGAACGGGUAGAAAUCGUAUCUAGAGUGUAAAGGCAUAAGGAAGCUUGACUGUGAGACCUACAAGUCGAGCAGGGACGAAAGUCGGUCUUAGUGAUCUGACGGUGCUGAGUGGAAAGGCCGUCACUCAACGGAUAAAAGUUACUCUAGGAUAACAGGCUGAUCUCCCCCGAGAGUUCACAUCGACGGGGAGGUUUGGCACCUCGAUGUCGGCUCAUCGCAUCCUGGGGCGGUAGUACGUCCCAAGGGUUGGGCUGUUCGCCCAUGAAAGCGGUACGCGAGCUGGGUUCAGAACGUCGUGAGACAGUUCGGUCCAUAUCCGGUGUAGGCGUUAGAAUAUUGAGAGGAGCCUUCUUUAGUACGAGAGGACCGAGAAGGACAUACCUCUGGUGUACCAGUUAUCGUGCCAACGGUAAACGCUGGGUAGCUAUGUGUGGAGUGGAUAACCGCUGAAAGCAUCUAAGUGGGAAGCCCACCUCAAGAUAAG
rnacentral:rRNA from 1 species